UACGUAGGGUGCAAGCGUUGUCUGGAAUUAUUGGGCGUAAAGAGCUCGUAGGCGGUUUGUCGCGUCUGGUGUGAAAAUCCAGGGCUUAACCCUGGACCUGCAUCGGGUACGGGCAGACUGGAGUACUGCAGGGGAGACUGGAAUUCCUGGUGUAGCGGUGGAAUGCGCAGAUAUCAGGAGGAACACCGGUGGCGAAGGCGGGUCUCUGGGCAGUAACUGACGCUGAGGAGCGAAAGCGUGGGGAGCGAACAGG
rnacentral:rRNA from 1 species